GAUGAACGCUGGCGGCGUGCCUAAUACAUGCAAGUCGAGCGGCAGCACGGUCUUCGGACUGGUGGCGAGCGGCGGACGGCUGAGUAACGCGUAGGAACAUGCCCCAAUGUGAGGAAUAACUGCCCGAAAGGGUGGCUAAUGCCGCAUGUGGUCUUCGGACUAAAGCUUUAUGCGCUUUGGGAGUGGCCUGCGUCUGAUUAGCUUGUUGGUGAGGUAAUGGCUCACCAAGGCGACGAUCGGUAGCUGGUCUGAGAGGAUGAUCAGCCAGACUGGAACUGAGAACGGUCCAGACUCCUACGGGAGGCAGCAGUAGGGAAUUUUCCACAAUGGGCGAGAGCCUGAUGGAGCAACGCCGCGUGCAGGAUGAAUGCCUUCGGGUUGUAAACCUCUUUCAGCACCGACGAAGCGCAAGUGACGGUAGGUGCAGAAGAAGGACCGGCCAACUACGUGCCAGCAGCCGCAGUAAUAC
rnacentral:rRNA from 1 species